AUUGAACGCUGGCGGCAGGCUUAACACAUGCAAGUCGAGCGGGGAAAGGUAGCUUGCAACCUGACCUAGCGGCGGACGGGUGAGUAAUGCUUAGGAAUCUGCCUAUUAGUGGGGGACAACAUUCCGAAAGGAAUGCUAAUACCGCCUACGCCCUACGGGGGAAAGCAGGGGAUCUUCGGACCUUGCGCUAAGAGAUGAGCCUAAGUCAGAUUAGCUAGUUGGUGGGGUAAAGGCCUACCAAGGCGACGAUCUGUAGCGGGUCUGAGAGGAUGAUCCGCCACACUGGGACUGAGACACGGCCCAGACUCCUACGGGAGGCAGCAGUGGGGAAUAUUGGACAAUGGGCGCAAGCCUGAUCCAGCCAUGCCGCGUGUGUGAAGAAGGCCUUUUGGUUGUAAAGCACUUUAAGCGAGGAGGAGGCUACUUGGAUUAUACUCUAGGAUAGUGGACGUUACUCGCAGAAUAAGCACCGGCUAACUCUGUGCCAGCCGCCGCCGUAA
rnacentral:rRNA from 1 species